UGUAGCUGCUUUUCUAUCAGGUAUGGAGCACCGAUGUCACUAAUGUUAUAUAGUUGUUUAUAAAAUCAUCAGGGCCUCUAGUGUCCACAUUAGAAAUGGGAAAACUAGUAUUAGAAACUUUGAAUAGAAAUUUGAUUUUUUUGUAGUUCAGAGAGCAAAUGUAGUUCUUAAAAAGGAGAAAAAGUUAGAUGAGGCCAUGGUUGCUUUGAGAAAUUACAGUAAGUAGUUUCUUUACAAAUAAUAGUACAAAAAUCAGUACGUGACUUUUCAGAAAGUUUCUAAUUCAGUUUUCUGGUUCCUUGCCUGUGUUCCAGUAUAAUUCUGUUCACAUUAAGCCUUGUUGUCAGUGGAUUCCUAAGGUAGCAAUGUUUUAUAAAUUUAGAAACUUAAAUUGGUUUUAAGUUUCAGCUUUUCCCCCCAAGCAGAUUGCAACUUGAGGUAAAUUAAAAAGUUAACCCCCCAAAAAUAAAGCCAAUUAUACCAAAUAUGCAAUCAUAUGAGAAUAUCAAAAAGUAUCCAGGUAAGGAAAGUUUUCAGGUCAAACUUAAAGGAUUUGGAAUCAAGACUGAGUUCAGCUCUUCAAACAUGAGGCAAAUUAAUUCUCCAGAACUAUUUCCAUAUCUGAAAAAUCAAGGCAAUGGCAUCCCUGUUGCCUUGAGGAUCAAGUGAAUCACAUACGAAAUGAUUAAUCAGAUUUCUUUUGAAAACCUUACAGGCAGCAGAGCAUGGCUUUAGUGUUCAAAUUCUAGCCAUUUACUACCUGGAUUACUUGGAGCAAGUCACUGUCUUCAUACGCAAAAAUGGAGAUGUUAUAAUACCUUGGUGAACUGUCAGAAUCUGGUAGGAAAAAAGUCGUAAAAUUUUU
rnacentral:lncRNA from 1 species